rnacentral:lncRNA from 1 species
GGUGACUUAACCAGCUGGCGGCGAAAUCGUCGCACACGCCGAACACUAGUUCAAGUCCCUUGACUUGGCCAUCUGGCGGCGAACGAAUCACACCUCACCCAACAAUAGCCCAAGUCGAUCUGGCGGCAUAAUCCACAAACUGGCUUAACCAUCCGGCGGCGAAAUCGUCGCACACGCCACGACAAUGGUUCAAGCCCCGGGCGGUGAUCUCUGCACGCUCACCCCCAAUCCAUCCUUGGUAUCAACCUCGGCGGCGAAAUCGUCGCACACGCCCUAGCCUUGAUACCAAGGUUAGCAUAGCACAAGUCCUGGGAUUCCGGAAUCCACUUCCACAGGUCGAGGGUCCAUAGCCAACCCUAUGUUGUCGACCUAGAACAUCCUAGUGGUUGCUACCACUAUACUCAACAACCUAGAUUCAAUGCCACUCUAGGUUUACUAUACCACAACCUAGGUUAUAAAACUCUAGGUUUACUAGUUCAAUCUAUGUUCACUAACAAUAGGUUCAACAUCACUAUGUCCGACCUAUGUUUAUUAACACUAGGUUCGAUAUCAUUCCUGUUUAACCUAUGUUUACUAACACUAGGUUAGAUGCCACUCGAUCUAUUUGACACCCUAGUUGUCCAUCGAGUAUUCUAUGGUUUUCACGUUCUUAUUUCCAAUGUCAUGUUCUCUACGCAAUUUGGAGUUAUCAACCAAGUUCACAUGCAUAUAUAAUCUCACAAUGCUAAUCAUGCAUUAUAAUCUCACAAAUUAUUUAUAUGCAUCUACUUAGCAUUUUUACUUAUGUCAUCAACAUGCAUUUCAUUCUAUGCAUUAUGCUUACAUGCUUUCUUCGAGUUUACAUGCAUAUAUAACCUUUUAUAUGCACCUACUUUAGCAUUUACAUAUCAUUAUUAUCAUGCUUUACAUUAUUAUCAUGCAUUACUAGUAUUAUGUAAAUUGCUCAUUAUACAUUUCUACUUAGCAUUUACAUUAACAUGCAUAAUUAUCAUACAUUACACCAUUAUCACGCAUUAUUUCACACUUAUAUGCAUCAACACAAAAUCUUAACUUGCUUAGACAUAAAGGCGACCUAGUCGCUUCGGUAAGCACAACCUACCUCGAUUCGCGUUCCGAUUGCUUGUCGACACUUGCAAUCGGCCUCCCGCGGCAUCGGGCGCCCGGUUCCGUCGGAACUUGUAGUUGCGCACCAACCGCGCAUCGCUUCGCAGCCCCGGGUAAAAAGGGUCUUCGUUUUGCUGUUACGAUGCUUCAAAUCCGUUUCCAGGAUUUUACGACGUCGCCUCGGCCCUCCAGGCGGAAACGAAGCCUAACGUCCGUUUCUUUAAUAACUUCGCAACGGCUCGUCGGAUUGCCGAACCGUCUUCGCCAGCGCGUUCGUUUCCCUAGCAAUUAGGUUUACAGAGGGUUAAAUUAGAUCAAACCCUCAUAUUUCCAAAUAUUGCAUUUCUAACCCUAGGUUUUCAAUUAUGUACGAAAUCACCAAAUUGAUCCUAGAUUCUAGCAUUUAUCCUCUAUUUAGCAUGCUAGGAUUCCAAAUAAACCAUUUCUAGAGCAUAUAAUUGAAGCUCUACAAUUCUACCAUUA